rnacentral:tRNA from 1 species
GACUUCGUGGUGUAGUUGGUUAUCACGUCGGUCUCACACACUGAAGGUCUCCAGUUCGAUCCUGGACGAAGUCA